rnacentral:tRNA from 1 species
GGGAAUGUGGCUUAGUGGUAGAGUGAUUGCCUAGCAUGCAUGAAGCCCUGGGUUCAAAUCCUCAGUACCA